GGCUCUGAUGAAGCCAUUCUGCAGCACCAGGUGGCCUGUUUAACUGUCCAAGGAGUCCUCAGAACCAUCAGUGACUCUCUAGCCCAAAGAGGAGGUGCCAUUUGACAAGGCCCACCCAGGAAAUCACCAAAUCUUUAUUUUUCAGAUGAAGAAGCCAGCUCAGAAAAUCUCAAGGAUAAAGAAGAGAAACAACAUUUAAUGCAGAUCAAGUUCAAACGCUAUGCCACUCCAUGCAAAAAUAAUUCAGCUCGGCAACUCUGGGAAAAGAUCAAAACCACGUCCUGGCAUCUCACCCACAGGAACACUUCUGUGUAUUUUUAUCCUGGACCCUCUAACAGAGGCUGUGUUUCCUCUAUUUGCCUCCUGUGACAUCUCCAGGAGGGCCUGCCCGGCUCAAAACAGGACCCCUGCACACCUCUCCUCUCACCAACUCGUGGUUUCGGCUUUGCUGGUUCUCCAGCAGGAAGCGGGUGUCCUCCAGGUCACAGGUCAGCCGGUGGCACUUCCUCUUC